CAGUAGCCGCGGUAACACAGAGGGUGCGAGCGUUAAUCGGAUUUACUGGGCGUAAAGCGUGCGUAGGCGGCUUUUUAAGUCGGAUGUGAAAUCCCUGAGCUUAACUUAGGAAUUGCAUUCGAUACUGGGAAGCUAGAGUAUGGGAGAGGAUGGUAGAAUUCCAGGUGUAGCGGUGAAAUGCGUAGAGAUCUGGAGGAAUACCGAUGGCGAAGGCAGCCAUCUGGCCUAAUACUGACGCUGAGGUACGAAAGCAUGGGGAGCAAACAGGAUUAGAUACCCCGGUAGUCCCUGUCUCUUAUAA
rnacentral:rRNA from 1 species